rnacentral:rRNA from 1 species
CAAUAGCGUAUAUUAAAGUUGUUGCAGUUAAAAAGCUCGUAGUUGGAUUUCUGGUAGGAGUGACCGUGCCAGACUUGAUUGUCUGUGUAUUGUGUUGUCUCCAGCCAUCCUUGUGGAGAACUUUUCUUGCAUUAACUUGUAGGGAUUGGGACCCGCAUCGUUUACUGUGAAAAAAUUAGAGUGUUUAAAGCAGGCAAUCGCUUGAAUACAUUAGCAUGGAAUAAUAAGAUAGGACUUUGGUACUAUUUUGUUGGUUUGCAUACCAAAUUAAUGAUCAACAGGAACAGUUUGAGGAUAUUCGUAUGAACAUGUCAGAGGUGAAAUUCUUGGAUUUUGAUCAGACGAACUACUGCGAAAGCAUUUAUCAAGGAUGUUUNCAUUAA